UACGUAGGGGGCGAGCGUUGUCCGGAUUCAUUGGGCGUAAAGAGCGUGUAGGCGGCCAGACAGGUCCGUUGUGAAAACUCGAGGCUCAACCUCGAGACGUCGAUGGAAACCGUCUGGCUAGAGUCCGGAAGAGGAGUGUGGAAUUCCUGGUGUAGCGGUGAAAUGCGCAGAUAUCAGGAAGAACACCUAUGGCGAAGGCAGCACUCUGGGACGGUACUGACGCUGAGACGCGAAAGCGUGGGGAGCGAACAGG
rnacentral:rRNA from 1 species